CGCAAAUACUAUCCCUGCCGCAGCAUGAUGAGCCCGCGUGGUUUUUGAAAUUCAUCACUUCUAAUUAUUUUUGACCUUGGGCCAGUUAUUUAACCCCUCUGCUUCUGUGUUUCCUCCUCAGAUGCAAACAACAUUCUUUCCAUGAUGCUCUUGUUUCCCACCAGACCCACCAGACACCUUCACUGUUUUGUUGAGGAUAAAAUGAGGAACAAGGACUUCCACUUCUAACCAAGACGGGGCAACCAAAACUAUAUUCACCAGCACUCUUGAACAACUAAAAAUACAGACAAAAUUUAUGAAACAACAGUUUUCAAGAUAUUGAACAUCAAGUAAUAAAAGACAGUGAACCCUGAGAGAUGGGAAACAAAUGAAGGGAACCCUAUGAUUGCCCUAGAUUUCUGAUUGGGAGAGUUUCCAGGCAACGAUACAGUGGAAGAGGAAAGGGGAACCCAAGCAGAGCGAAUUCUCUGAGUUGAGACAAUGUAGUUGACAGUCUGGAGAGGUCAAAGUGGCUAGAGUUCACAGGUCAGACUACCAGAGAGGAGAGAACUGCACGGAUGGAGAGCUCCAGAGAUCCACAGAGAGUCAUGGUUGGGUCUUCAGCUGAGAACUGAACUGUACAUGCAUGUCAUAAAACUACUCAAGAUUGGGAAAGAACCACCCAAAAGGAUUGGAAGAAACAAUAUGAGGGCUCCCAGAGAGCUUGGAAUAGUUCCUGUUCCCAACAGCCAGAGUAAACAACCUGGGGCAUCAGAUGGAAUACCCAGCAGGGUUUUGCAUCCAUAGUGGGACAAAGUUAGCCCCAAACAAGCAUUGCUCUUGUACUACC
rnacentral:lncRNA from 1 species